rnacentral:lncRNA from 1 species
CCCAUGAGCAAACAAACGUUCACUUUACAAAGAUAUUUUAAUUUUUUAAAACAAAUUAAUCACCCUGUCAAAAUCCUUUGUGUUACGGCAUUGAAAUUCGAACAAUACGUCAAUUUCAAUGAUUUUUUUUGAGACACCCUGUAUACAGAAUGAGAUUUACCAUCAAAUUCCCAGUCACUAACAAUGGACUAGAUUCCCAAUGGUUGAAAUUAUAUGAAAGUCAGUCCUAAGCCCUAAUUUGCAUGCAUAUUGUAGUUAAUUUGGCAAUGUUUGCAAACAUGAUGUAUUAACAUUGAAUUAACAUGAUAUUACUGGUUGAACAUAAGACAAAGAGAUGGUCUAAUGAUAUUUAUACAAAACACAUAGUCCUCAAUAGAAUUGAAUUCUUGUCAUGUAAAACUUGGCAACAAGUUGUUGAAUUACAAAACGAUAUUAAAGUAGGGCGCACUAGGAGAUGUCUAUAAAUUACAUACAAUGGGAUUUUUAUCAUGAUCUAACAAAGAUGAAUGGAUUUUGAAGCAAUUAGUGAUUGAACGAUUAUCGGUAUGAGUAUCGGGUCGAUUUUUGCCUUGUCGGUAGAUAGUCGAAAUCUGUAGAAUUAUCUGUAUUUCCGACUGUGCAAAACCGAUUGUUGAGAAAAUACGCACUUUAAAAAUUCUAUACAUUGCGCGUUGAUUGCUGCGACGAAAUUAAUGCGUGAAGCGUGCAUUUUUUAACGGUUUUAACGAACUUUUGAAUCGGUAUUAGUAUCGGCAUGAAUAAUUGGUAGUUUCCGAUUGUGGCCCAAUCGGUCAACCACUAGAAGCAAUUGUGUUGUAUCAAAUGAGGACACUACAAAGUUGUCAAAAA